rnacentral:lncRNA from 1 species
CUGAAGCCUGAGGAGUUCAAGGUCAUAUGACAGGGCUGUUACCUCAAGAAGAAGGUCCCAUCUGUUUCCUGGAAUGUGUCUACACUGCUGCUCUCGUCAACUGGCUGCAAAUACGCUCGUGGAAAACAACCUGAUGUAAUUUCUGCCCAGUCAGCUUCAUCUCUCAGUAUAGUUGUAAAUCACCCCAGAUUCUACAGCCGCACCUGAAGACAUGCUCUCACACAUAGAUGUACACAAACACACCCUCAUACCCAUUUCAGCUGGCAUCUGUCAUGAUUCCUGUCAAGAGGGCUUUCGUUGUCUGACUCAUAAUUGUUUAGGAUAAACGAUCAAGAGAAAGGAUUAACUAGACAGUGAUGGGUUUUCAGCACUUGCUGUUGUGGAAAUCUCCUUUAAAGUCUUGAGUACAUGCUAAUCAAUAAUCCUCACUCAUGCAUUUCUACUGCUUGGAGUAGCUGUACUGGUAAAUACUACUGUAGGAGUAUAUGCUUGUUAAAAUGGAAAAAAAAAUGUGUCUUUAGAACUCAGUAUUCUUUAUUUUAUGAACACAACACGUGUAGUAACUUUUUCCCAGCAUAUAGUAGGCACAUUCAAGGUGAUUCAAGAUGGCUCUUUUUUCUGUGGAGGGAGCCUGUUCUCAGUAAAGAUGAGCAAACAUUUGGAAUUUACAUGUGGGCAGACACUGGAUUACAGCUUUCAUCACCAAUCAUUGGACUUUUGCAAAGUCGAGACCAGCUAAGGCUGCUUAAAACAAGUUCUGAUCAUUAUAUAAGAAGGAAAAUGCCUGACAGACACCAUAUGUCUGAAGAUUGUGACUGA